UACGGAGGGGGCAAACGUUGCUCGGAAUUACUGGGCGUAAAGCGCAUGUAGGCGGACGUGCAAGUCAGGUGUGAAAUCCCCGGGCUCAACCCGGGAAUUGCACUUGAAACUGCUCGUCUUGAGUACCGGAGAGGAGAGUGGAAUUCCUGGUGUAGAGGUGAAAUUCGUAGAUAUCAGGAGGAACACCGGUGGCGAAGGCGGCUAUCUGGACGGUAACUGACGCUGAGAUGCGAAAGCGUGGGGAGCAAACAGG
rnacentral:rRNA from 1 species